CACCGCUGUAACUCGGGACAGUCCUGCCCAUGGACGUCUUAAAACUUGCUCCCAUUGCUCGUGAAAUAAGGGAUCCUCGUUUCUCAUUUCGUUAACUGCGCUAAUCAGUAGGGGUCUCUACACAUUGAUGACAAAAGAGCUAUCUUGGAUAAGUUUCCUCCCUAAACACAGCACGGUGGCAUGAUGACUUUCAAUCAGCUAUGAUGGAUGAUGGGAAUGCAGCCUUAGCACUUUGGAGACGCCAGACAAGACCACCUGCUGCACUUACUUAAAUGGUUGAACACACUGAUUCUGGAAGUGCAAAGUCUGCCACUCGUGGUUGUCGCUUGCCAAUGGUGCAGAAUGAUCGCUGCUGAUACUUUGUUUACAGAGACAAUGUCUUCUUUGGAGCUUCUGAAAUGACAUCACAGAAUCCCUACAGUGUGCAAGAGACCUUUCAGCCCACGAGUCCACACCAACCCUACAAACAACAUUCCACCCAGACAUACUCCCUUGCUCUGUUCCUGCAACCCUACAUUUCCCAUGGCUAAUCCACCGAGCCUGCACAUUCUUGGACUCUAUGGGCAAUUUAGGAUGACCAAUCUACCUAACCUGCACAUCUUUGGAUUGUGGGAAGAAACUCAUGCAGACAGGGGAAGAACAUGUAAACUCCACACAGACAGUCACCUGAGAAUGGAAUUGAACCUGGGUCCCUGGUGUUGUGAGGCAGCAGUGCUAACCAAUGAGCCACUGUGUCGCCUUCUUUGCUCGGUUAGUGCUAGCAUGUAUAACAAGCUCGUCGUAGAAUGGGCAGCAAAGUGACUUUGUCUUUCCAUGACUGAGAGGAUGUACCCUCGACUAGAAGUGAAAUUUACAGAGUUUUUUUAUUGGUUUGUGUAAGUUGUCCAGGUUUUGUUGCCAUAUAUCAAUGUUCUGGGGACACAGGCCUUGGUCCUGUCCUUCAUCGCUGACAUGAAGUAUUGUAGAGUCGAAUGGUCAGUAAAUCUUAUACAAUAUCACAUUCAAUGAGUGUUAUU